GACGAACGCUGGCGGCGUGCUUAACACAUGCAAGUCGAACGGAAAAGCCCUGCUUUUGUGGGGUUCUCGAGUGGCGCACGGGUGAGUAACACGUGAGUAUCCUGCCCUUGACUUUGGGAUAACUUCAGGAAACUGGGGCUAAUAUCGGAUAGGAUCUCCUGCUCCAUGGUGGGGGUUGGAAAGUUUCGGCGUUGGGGGAUGGACUCGCGGCUUAUCAGCUUGUUGGUGAGGUAGUUGCGUCCCAAGGCUUUGACGGGUAGCCGGCCUGAGAGGGUGACCGGCCACCUUGGGACUGAGAUAAGGCCCAGAAUCCUACGGGCGGCAGCAGUGGGGAAUAUUGCACAAUGGGCGGAAGCCUGAUGCAGCAACGCCGCGUGCGGGAUGACGGCCUUCGGGUUGUAAACCGCUUUCGCCUGUGACGAAGCGUGAGUGACGGUAAUGGGUAAAGAAGCACCGGCUAACUACGUG
rnacentral:rRNA from 1 species